AAAAGUUGUGUUAGACACUCUGCGCACACACCCCUUUCAUAAUUCUCUACAGGAUCUUAACAUGGCAACCUGCUUCGUUCCUCUCCUUCUCCUGGCUCUCCUUAUAGGACUUUCGGUCCAGGUCCAGUUAAAGGAAUCUGGGCCAGGAGUGGUGAUACCCGGAGAGACCCUCGAGCUGACCUGCACGGUCACUGGGAUCUCAGUCACAAACAGCUACUGGUGGCACUGGGUUUGUCAGACUCCUGGGAAAGGGCUGGUCUGGAUGGGAGCCUGGGUUGGAAGCACGUACUACGAUCCAGCUUUCAAAAACCGAAUCACCAUCUCGGUGGAUGCUUCACAAACAAAAUAUUUCCUGAGGUUGACCUCAGCGACGGCUGCAGAUUCUGCCAUGUAUUACUGUGCAAGAGGCACAGUGGGGCAGACUCAACCAGGAGCCUGCACAAAAAAGGAGAAGAUUUUGCAACUGUGUGGUAACAACUGGGAUUUCCAGAUCUACAGCUGA